GACGAACGCUGGCGGCGUGCUUAACACAUGCAAGUCGAACGGAAAGGCCCUGCUUUUGUGGGGUGCUCGAGUGGCGAACGGGUGAGUAACACGUGAGUAACCUGCCCUUUACUUUGGGAUAACUUCAGGAAACUGGGGCUAAUACCGGAUAGGAGCUCCUGCUGCAUGGUGGGGGUUGGAAAGUUUCGGCGGUUGGGGAUGGACUCGCGGCUUAUCAGCUUGUUUGUGGGGUAGUGGCUUACCAAGGCUUUGACGGGUAGCCGGCCUGAGUGGGUGACCGGCCAAAUUGGGAAUGAGAUAAGGCACAGACUCCUAAGGGAGGAAGAAGUGGGGAAUAUUGCAAAAUGGGAGGAAGCCUGAUGCAGCAACGCCGCGUGCGGGAUGACGGACUUCGGGUUGUAAACCGCUUUCGCAUGUGACGAAGCGUGAGUGAAGGUAAUGGGUAAAGAAGCACCGGCUAACUACGUGC
rnacentral:rRNA from 1 species